ensembl:lncRNA
AUGAUAGGGAUGUGGAGAUUUUUGUGCAUGUUUCCGAACACGGCCUUCAAACGGGGUGUUUUUCUUCCAGCUUCUGUUCUAACAGUAAAUGUUGUGCUAGCAAAAAUGUGCAUUUUGAUAAGAGAUCUGCAGGCCAGGGCUUGUGUGGGUCCGCUGCUUAAGACUAGGGCUGUUUGUCAGGAGAUGAUCUCUGUCCGUAGGAAGGAAAAGGCUGCAUGGCCUAAGACAGGACAUCUCUGGUUCCACGUGGACCUAGGGCUGGAUUUAAAGGCUGGAUGGUUGGGCCUCUGUGGCAUCACAAAACCCUGUGAGUCCAGCAGAGCCGAGCGCAGGGAUCGUGUUGCCCAAUUGCUUUCCACUGGAGAAGGCAGGGAAGUCUGGUGUGGAGGGUGGGGUUGCCCCCUCGGCUCUCAGUGGCGCUGCCUUCUUCCAGGGCGGGGCCUCCAGCCUUAUAUCUGGGGCUCUCACUGCCGCAGGUGGGUCCUGUCUGCUGGAAAGAUGAUGUCUCUCUUCUGGAUCUGUUGUCUCGCGCCGCUGGCCUCUGUGCUGGGCCACACGCAGGCAAACUAUGCGGGUAGGUUUCCUGGACUCUGGCAUCCGAAAACCGCUUUCUCGGUGCAGCUGAUGAAGGAGAUGUCAGACAGGUUGCACAACGAAGCUAAAGUUAAAGCUAUCGAAUCGUGGGGAUUCUUGGACAACCACUACAACACCACGUUCAUGCCGCUCAAGGGGGAGGCCACGCACGUCGUGAUACAGACGGUAGCCGGGAAAAUGUUUAAUAUCACUACCAUAGUGGUAGAAGUCAGCUGCCCAGAGGAGCAGGAGCCCGGAAAUUACACAGGUUGCGAACCCUUGCCGGGGAGCCAGCCAAAGGUGUGCAACGUGGUGAUUCUGCUUAUCCCGGGAAACGAGAAGCCUUUCUUCUACCACGAUCCCUGCCAAGAUUUCAGCAGCUAUCUGCAGCGNAAUGCCGAGGUCCAGCGCGAACACCAACGUCUCCUGGAGCGCCUGUACCAACGUCAGCGCGAACGUGAACGUCAACACGGACACGGACACGAGGGCGAAGCCGAAGUAGAAGAGGAGGGGACGCCCUACAUGUGAGGGCAGGCCGGAGACGCCGGCUCCCCGUCCCUUUUCCCUUUCCCCCCAGCUCAUUCCUACCUGCCACACCUCUGCCUGACAUGUUCGCAGCUCCGUGGCGUUUCCCGCAUGGGGUCCAGGUGGCUGAUGGGUGCAGAGUGGCUCUGAGGGCCGGAGGCAGGCAAGGGAGUCCGGCUCAAAGUUCCCCUUAGCUGUGGAGGCACCCGAGGCUCACGGGGUUCCUGUGGAAACAGAACUGGCCCGAGGGGAACCCAACAGUCCUUCCCUUUUGCGGUGGGAAAGCAGUUUAGUGCAAGUCGAGUGGAUUCUUUUGGUCACACCUGCUUUGAAAAUCCACGACAGGCCGAGCGCUCCACAUACCUCCACCGAACUCCCUUCGGUUCUCCCUGUUUGCCUCCGUUUGCCUCUGAUCCGUAGGGCUGCGCNCGUCCACACUUGUGUGCUCAAACCGGUUUCUCUGCCCAGAACAGCCGCCCUAGGGAACCAGGCCAAACUCCCCGUAUCCCAGCUCUUGGGGCUGCAGGGAUACCACCUGCNCACUGUCUCCGCAGUCUGCCAGGGAGCGCCGGGUUGGGGUUCCUGGUUCCUCACUUGGCAGCGGCGCCUGUCCUUGUGCCUUUUCACCAGUGGAAACAAGAGUUGCCCCCCACCCCCAAAGCCCCCCUCCUUUUCCUCAUUUCCCAGCUGCAAUUUAGGGUAGAAUAAAACCAGCGCAACUUGCA